UAAAAACCCCGACUUCGGAAGGGGUGUAUUUAUUAGAUACAAAACCAAUGCCCUUCGGGGCUCUUUGGUGAUUCAUGAUAACUAUACGAAUCGCACGGCCUUGCGCCGGCGAUGGUUCAUUCAAAUUUCUUCCCUAUCAACCUUCGAUGUUUGGGUAUUGGCCAAACAUGGCUGCAACGGGUAACGGAGGGUUAGGGCUCGACCCCGGAGAAGGAGCCUGAGAAACGGCUACUACAUCCAAGGAAGGCAGCAGGCGCGCAAAUUACCCAAUCCCGACUCGGGGAGGUAGUGACAAUAAAUACUGAUACAGGGCCCUUUCGGGCCUUGUAAUUGGAAUGAGUACAAUUUAAAUCCCUUAACGAGGAACAAUUGGAGGGCAAGUCUGGUGCCAGCAGCCGCGGUAAUUCCAGCUCCAAUAGCGUGUAUUAAAGUUGUUGUGGUUAAAAAGCUCGUAGUUGAACCUUGGGCCUGGCUGGCCGGUCCGCCUCACCGCGUGCACUGGUCCGGCCGGGCCUUUCCCUCUGUGGAACCCCAUACCCUUCACUGGGCGUGGCGGGGAAACAGGACAUUUACUUU
rnacentral:rRNA from 1 species